UCACGUGACACGGGGUGCUGCCCCUGAAGAGGGCAGCUGAGAACACACCCGUCGAACCUGAUCCAGUUAAUGCUGGCGAAGGGAAUGUCCACGAGGCGCUAC
rnacentral:ncRNA from 2 species